rnacentral:misc_RNA from 1 species
AACGCAUAUUGCGCUCGAGGCUUCGGCCAAGAGCAUGUCUGCCUCAGCGUCGGGUUAAUAUCACAUCCCCUAUUACCCUGUGUAGUGGGGCUCCAUGUGGACUUGGCCGUUCCAGUUCAGUGCGGGUUCUUGGCUUGUUGAUUCUUUCUCAACAAGACAUGCAUGCCCACCAAGCACCCUGGAUCGGCUGAAGAACAGAGGCUAACAAGGACUCUUCAAGGGUCGCAACUGAGUAGGCACUUGGUGCUCAUUACUUUAGUUGUUGGCCUGAGACCUUCUGUUCAGCCCUCAACCAGGAAAUGACCUACCAUCAACCUAUUACCUCGACCUGAGCUCAGGCAAGAACACCCGCUGAACUUAA